rnacentral:lncRNA from 1 species
AGUUUGUGUUUGGAAUUGGAUCCAGUUGUACCGAUUUACUCCACUGUUUGCUACAAGAUUCAGCAGCUGUUCCGUGUGGGGGCCCCUGUUCCUGCUGUUCCCAGGCACCCGCUGGCAGGACAAAGCACCUUUCCCCAGGUGUGGAGAGCCAUGCCUGUAAGGCCUGUGCUGGGUGGGGCUGCUGUUGGAUGAGGUUGGGGGGUCCCUCAGGAGGAUAGAAGAAUUGUCCAGAGUUGGAGGCCAGGGAGACAGUCAGGGAAGGGAAGAGACCAGGGGCAGGCUACAGAAUAAAAAUGUAAAUGUUACUCAAUUCUGAAAGAGUAGGUCAGAACAACCCCUUUUAAAAAAACCUACUUUUAUAACCAGAUCAUCUAAGGGGGAACAGAAAUCCGAUGCUUUGCCUCUAAGGCUCACAAAGUAACCUGUAAAGAUACUGGCCAUUCAACUGUUUUAACUCAGUCUGUGCCAUCUAUAGAAUUCCUUUAAAGCCAAAUAGGCUGUGCUAUAGCGCUCUAUAAUACAGUUUUAAAUAAAUCAUUACUGCCAGGUCGCUGGGUGGGGGAGGGGUGUGCCUGCUUCCUUUUCCUUCUUACUGCUCCUUCCUCCUUGGCCCUUUGAUGUGUAUUCUUUAGGUACCGUUCCUCCAAUCUGCCCUUACACAAAUGUACCACAAAAUUCUCUUCAGCCUGGGAGUGUGGCAGGAAGAAGAGCUACUGGAUGCAUGGCUACAUUAGGAAGACCCAGAUGGAAGGGAAACUGGGCAAGCAAAUGAGUCUCUCUGGGGAUCAUGUGAUCGAAAUGUUUGUGGAAAAAAACAUACCCCAGACCAGAAGACAGAGUUAAGUAAAUGUUCAGUGUUGUUCUCAUAAUCUCUGCUCUUUGUAAAAGACAAUUAUCUCUGUUCCCUGUUUGCCUCUGACGGACUGUCUAGAAUAUCAAGCGAGGAAUGACAAGCCAUAUUUAUCUGUAAUGAUCAAAACUGAGUAUCACUCUUUCCUCCUCAAUUUAGAGGACUCCUUAUAAUUAACUGAUGAGCUGUCCCCAAGACAGUGCCAUUUAGAGUUGUUACUGACUCUAAUUGGGGAGAAAUGCAUUUGGAACGUUCCAAUUAGAAGCAUUUUUUUUUUCUGCUGUUCUUGUACAUACAUUCAAAGGGAGCGCCUGAGCGUCCAUGCCUUUUGUUUGGGCGGGAGGGGGGCUUGUAGCUUGAUGGAUUGUUUCUGUUUAUACUUAAGUAAAUAUUACAAAUGAAGCUCCUGUGAGCUCUAGAGUAACAAGAGGACCACAGGAGGAAACAGCAGACACAUUUUUCUCUUCAUUAUCAUAAUGAUCAUUAUUAUAGUGGAAAUGGGAUAUUUUGAAGAUGCUGUUGAAAGCACUCCUAAUUCCGUAUAUAGUGGAGGCCUCCUGAUAUUUUGUCUUUGGUUGUGUUUUUGAGAUAAUUACUAAGUAGGCCAGGAUGGGCUGGGACUUGCUCUGCAGAACUCAAGGCCACUUGUAUGUUUUGAUUUCCCACUCCUCCCUAUUUCUUUAUGGAGUUAUGAAGAACUUAGAACUUCAAAGCCAGCAUGGGUGUGUGUUUUCCCAAGUGCAAGAUAGCAGUCUGUGCUGUGGGGUUAAUUUACUCAUCAAACGACUAUGGGAAUAUUGGGGGUUUGUUUUUUGUUUUUUGUUUUUUAGUUGAAGACAUCAACAUAUAGCCAACCAUGGGAGACUGAGGCUGCCUCUGAGUCUCCAGCCCAGAGACGUCAGAGUUGAAGGGGUUCAUCUUUCUGGUGGGAAUCUUUAACCGUGCCUUAUUAAAUACAUUAAACUUUAUUUUCCAAA